AUUAACUUAAGAAGUUUCUCCUCUCUCUUGCUCUCUUUCACUCUCGCUCUCUCUCUCUCUCUCUCUCUGCGAGCGAUGGACUCCUUCGCCGUCGUUGCCCGGCCACUGCCGUCCCUCGCCGUCUGCGAUGUGGCGAUCAAGAAGACCGCCUACUCGUUGAACCUACCCGUCGCCGAUUCCACUUGUGGAUGCAGAAGACGGACCCUAAUCAUGCCUUCCGCCGUCACCACCCAGUGGAAGGAUGGCGCAGCCGCCUCCGUAGCCGGAUCCAUCUACCUUCCACUCGAUAAGGUCGCGGCGGACUCGUUGCAGUACGAAAGUGGCUCCCUUGGGGGCAUCUCAGAGAGGACCCGACCGGCGGCGGAGGAGGAACGCUCGAGUGGGGCGCUCACGCCGAUGGAGUAUCUGAAGAAUGUUCUCUCCUCGAGGGUAUACGACGUCGCGAUCGAGACCCCUCUGCAGUUGGCCACGAAGCUGUCGGAGAGGCUCGGGGUCAAUCUCUGGCUCAAGAGGGAGGACUUGCAACCGGUUUUUUCAUUUAAGCUACGGGGAGCUUACAAUAUGAUGGUUAAGCUUUCAAGAGAGCAGUUGGAUAAAGGUGUGAUAUGCUCUUCUGCUGGAAAUCAUGCUCAAGGAGUUGCAUUAGCUGCUAAGAAAUUAGGCUGUGAUGCUGUCAUUGUAAUGCCAGUUACUACACCAGAAAUUAAGUGGCGAUCUGUUGAGAGAUUAGGUGCAACAGUUGUCCUUAAGGGGGACUCAUAUGAUGAGACACAGUCAUAUGCCAAGCAGCGCGGGGAGCAGGAAGGUCGCACCUUCAUACACCCUUUUGACCAUCCAGAUGUUAUUACAGGCCAAGGAACCAUUGGAAUGGAGAUCAUUCGCCAAAUGAAAGGUCCACUUGAUGCAAUAUUCGUGCCAGUUGGAGGUGGUGGAUUAAUAGCAGGGAUUGCUGCUUAUGUAAAACGAGUUCGUCCAGAGGUGAAGAUCAUUGGUGUUGAGCCCUCUGAUGCCAAUGCAAUGGCAUUAUCUUUAUAUCAUGGUCAGCGGAUCAUGCUAGAUCAAGUUGGUGGAUUUGCUGAUGGUGUAGCAGUGAAGGUAGUUGGAGAAGAAACAUUUCGCUUAUGCCGGGAACUUGUUGACGGUGUGGUUCUUGUCAGUCGUGAUGCAAUCUGUGCAUCUAUCAAGGAUAUGUUUGAGGAGAAAAGGAGCAUCCUAGAACCAGCUGGAGCUCUUUCUCUAGCUGGUGCAGAGGCAUACUGCAAGUACUAUGGGCUGAAAGGUGCAAGUAUUGUUGCAAUAACUAGUGGCGCAAACAUGAACUUCGACAGACUGAGGUUGGUAACUGAACUUGCUGAUGUUGGUCGAAAACGAGAAGCUGUACUUGCAACAAUUCUACCAGAGGAGCAUGGGAGCUUCAAGAUGUUUUGUAAACUGGUUGGCACGAUGAAUAUGACCGAGUUUAAAUACAGAUAUGAGUCUCAUAGAGAAAAUGCUCUUGUUCUUUACAGCGUUGGACUUCAUACUGAGACAGAACUGGGAGCCAUGGUGAACCGCAUGAAAUCUGCACAACUUCAAACCAUCAAUCUUACUAAUGAUGACUUAGCGAAGGAUCACCUCAGAUACUUUAUGGGAGGCCGAUCAAAUGUUCAAGAUGAACUACUUUGCCGAUUCAUAUUCCCCGAGAGGCCAGGUGCUCUCAUGAAGUUUUUGGAUUGCUUUAGCCCACGUUGGAAUAUCAGCCUCUUCCAUUAUCGAGCUCAGGGAGCAGCUGGUGCAAAUGUGUUGGUAGGCAUCCAAGUGCCUGGCAACGAUAUGCAAGAAUUCAAGGAUCGAGCUCAUGCUCUCGGAUAUGAGUAUACUUACGAGACGACCAACGAAUCCUAUCGGCUUCUAAUGCAGUGACAGGAUCCAACAACUAGAACUGCUGUUUACUAGGCUUUUAAGGAGGCUUCUAGAGGAGAAAGUUCACAGAAAUCACCCAUUAUGACGAGCCUUGAUGCUUUUCCUUCGUUCAUUCUUUUAUGGUCUAAGUCAGCAAGCACAAUGACAACAAGUGGAAGAACUGCAAACACAACCCACAAGGCAAUGGCAGCUUUAGCAACAAAAGAGAGACAAGGCCACAUGCAAAUAAUCCAGGAAUACCAACCUGCAACACCAGAAAAUAGGUACAUUCUAUCUCAGUGCAUCCUCAUACUGCAAGUGGUGCAGACUCAACCGACAAGCAAAUAUGAAAAAUGUAUUGUCUUGAAGGAUUGGUUCAUAAUUGAAGCUAACCUUGUGGAGUGGAGCUCCUUCAAGAUUUCUAUGAAGCACAAAUUCAGAAUUGCUUAAGCUGCAUGUGAAGAGAAACCAAAAAAUCCAGCUUUGUAAUACUUUCUCUAAAAAGUACUCAAAUUAUUUUACUAAACCAAAAUGAUGAGCUACAGCUAUUACCUUCA